AAGCUGUACUUGUCCCGACCAGCAGCAAAAUCGAGUACACAACCCAUUUCGUUGUCCAAUGUCUCGAACAAAACCCUUAUUACAAAGAAUUUUCUGGAUCUGUUGAGAUAUUUUCAAUUCAAUGUGAAGAAGGAAAGUGCAGCCAGCAAUAGAGAUUGCUUAGAGCAUAUGGUCCUUGUAAUCAUUGCGGUUAUUGCGGAAAGUCUAAUCUCCUAAUCGUGAUGCUGUCAUUCUCUGUGCUAUGUGUCUUCUGCCUUACCUCAGGCAUUAUGGCUGCCAGUUCACCCUCGGCGUGCAAGUCCAGCGGUCAUAAAUGCAGGCUAUGGUUUUUGUGCCGGAAGGAAGAUAAAGUGAAACUGGGAGGCUGUGGGUUCUUCUCCACUUGCUGCAAGAGGAAAGCGAAGACUUGUUCAUCGCUUCACGGGACCUGUCAAGGAGCCUCCGAACGAUGCGCUGGACUUGUACACUCGGAAAUGCCAUGCCCUGAAGGCAAACGCUGUUGCGUCCCCGUUUUGCACUAGUGACCUUCG